UACGAAGGGUCCUAGCGUUGUUCGGAAUUACUGGGCGUAAAGGGCGCGUAGGCGGCCUACUAAGUCAGGUGUGAAAGCCCCGAGCUUAACUUGGGAACUGCACUUGAUACUGGUAGGCUAGAGAUCGGAAGAGGUGAGUGGAAUUCCUAGUGUAGAGGUGAAAUUCGUAGAUAUUAGGAAGAACACCAGUGGCGAAGGCGGCUCACUGGUCCGAUACUGACGCUAAGGCGCGAAAGCGUGGGGAGCAAACAGG
rnacentral:rRNA from 1 species